GAGCUCAGUAGCAGAGCAUCUGCUUUGCAUGCAGAAGGUGCAAGGUUCAAUCCCUAGCAUCUCCA